rnacentral:misc_RNA from 1 species
GAAAUGCGAUAAGUAAUGUGAAUUGCAGAAUUCCGUGAAUCAUCGAAUCUUUGAACGCACAUUGCGCCCUCUGGUAUUCCGGGGGGCAUGCCUGUCCGAGCGUCAUUGCAAACCCUCAAGCUCGGCUUGUGUGAUGGGUCCCGCGUCUUGGUCGUCAAGACGGGCCCGAAAUGCAGUGGCGGCUUCGCGGUUAUCCGAUCAGCCAGAGCGUAUGGGGACUCUCUCUCUUGUCACACGCCCGCGGCGCGGACCGACGCCUGUCGACCUUUAUUCAUCUUCUCUCGGUUGACCUCGGAUCAGGUAGGGUUACCCGCUGAACUUAAGC